rnacentral:tRNA from 1 species
GGCAUGAUGGCGGAAUUGGUAGACGCAGUAGACUCAAAAUCUGCCGAGGGCAACCUCUUGUGGGUUCGAUUCCCACUCGUGCUA